rnacentral:rRNA from 2 species
AGAACGUAGCGAAAUGCGAUACUUGGUGUGAAUUGCAGAAUCCCGUGAACCAUCGAGUCUUUGAACGCAAGUUGCGCCCGAGGCCAUCCGGUC